rnacentral:lncRNA from 1 species
CGGGGUCUGCAGAUGGAGGGCACAUAGUACAGCCAGCCUUUAUGGGGGCAGCAAAGAGUUAAAGCAGCUCCCUGAGCGCCAGACAACAGCCUCAUCAGCAGGCCCUGAUUCUGAUUAAACAGCUGUGCGGAGAGGUAGUGCUGACUUCCAGACCACUGAGGUCACCUGCAUAAGCGAGUCUGGCAACAAAUAAUCGUCUUCCAGAAAAUGACCAGAAACUCAGCCUGCUUUUUGUCAUUUCACCAGCCCCACCAUCUUUCCUUUAUUCUAGAGCUCCUGGCACACUUACAUGAAUCUCUUGAAAGAAGAGAAAUGAGAGCAUUCAUUCCAUACUAAUACAAUUGUGCCCUAUGGAAAGGCUUUUUGCUGGCAGACAUAGUAGACGGACCAUUUCCCAACUUCUUUUUCUUUGCCACCUUCCAGCCAAAGGUGUCCAUAUGACACAGCUCUGGACAGGAUAAUUGGAAGUCUGUUGUGGGAUUUCUGAGAAAGCUUUUGAUUUUCUGACAGAGACAUUUUUGCUUCCCCUUACCACUUCCUACUGGAUUACAGAUGUGAUGGAAAGAGCUGCAGCAGCCAUAAUACAACCAUAAAGGAGAGGAGAAGAGAAUUGCAAAGGCAUCAACCCACAUUGAAUUGAACUGCUAAGUUAACACUAGCAGUUACUUGCCUCCAGAUAUCUUGGUGUGUGAGAACAUUAAAUCUGUAUGUGUCUAAAUCAGUAUGGGUGAACAUUUCUGUCACUAAAGUCAAAAGCAUCCCUGAAACAGUGCAUGAUUCCAUAUGACCCUUACCACAAC